GGGCGGUUAGCUCAGUGGUAGAGCACUACCUUGACAUGGUAGGGGUCACAGGUUCAAUCCCUGUACCGCCCA
rnacentral:tRNA from 1 species